GGGCCCGCACAAGCGGUGGAGUAUGUGGUUUAAUUCGAUGCAACGCGAAGAACCUUACCAGGGUUUGACAUCCUGCGAACCCCUGAGAAAUCGGGGGUGCCUUCGGGAACGCAGUGACAGGUGGUGCAUGGCUGUCGUCAGCUCGUGUCGUGAGAUGUUGGGUUAAGUCCCGCAACGAGCGCAACCCACGUCUUUAGUUGCCAGCAUUCAGUUGGGCACUCUAGAGAGACCGCCGGUGAUAAACCGGAGGAAGGUGUGGAUGACGUCAAGUCAUCAUGCCCCUUACAUCCUGGGCUACACACGUACUACAAUGCUACGGACAAAGGGCAGCAAGUUCGCGAGGACAAGCAAAUCCCAUAAACCGUGGCUCAGUUCAGAUCGUAGGCUGCAACUCGCCUACGUGAAGGAGGAAUC
rnacentral:rRNA from 1 species